rnacentral:rRNA from 1 species
ACCGACUAAUGUUGAAAAAUUAGCGGAUGACUUGUGGCUGGGGGUGAAAGGCCAAUCAAACCGGGAGAUAGCUGGUUCUCCCCGAAAGCUAUUUAGGUAGCGCCUCGUGAAUUCAUCUCCGGGGGUAGAGCACUGUUUCGGCAAGGGGGUCAUCCCGACUUACCAACCCGAUGCAAACUGCGAAUACCGGAGAAUGUUAUCACGGGAGACACACGGCGGGUGCUAACGUCCGUCGUGAAGAGGGAAACAACCCAGACCGCCAGCUAAGGUCCCAAAGUCAUGGUUAAGUGGGAAACGAUGUGGGAAGGCCCAGACAGCCAGGAUGUUGGCUUAGAAGCAGCCAUCAUUUAAAGAAAGCGUAAUAGCUCACUGGUCGAGUCGGCCUGCGCGGAAGAUGUAACGGGGCUAAACCAUGCACCGAA